UUAAAGUAUGAAUUUUGCUUAAAAAAUUAAUUUAUUUUAUUUUAUAUGUAAUUUUAGUAUUUAAAUAGAAAGGUCAGCAGUAACUAAUUUUAUAGAUAAAGUAAUUUUUGAUUUAGGUAUUUAUAGUGUAUAUAACAUAAUUUGUGCCAGCAGUUGCGGUUAUACAAAUAUAUAAAUUAAUUUAUUUUAGUAGUAUAAUUAAAUAUUUUUAUAUAAUUUAAAAUUAAAUUUAUUAGGUGAAAUUUUAAAUUUAAUAAAUUUUUAAUAAAAUAAUUGAAGUUAAUAACUUUACUCUUAAACUAGGAUUAGAUACCCUAUUAUUUUAAAUGUAAAUUUUUAUUCUAAAUUAGUAAAAGAUAUAAUCUUAAAAAUUAAAAAUUUUGGCGGUAUUUUAGUCUAUUCAGAGGAAUCUGUUCUAUAAUUGAUAUUCCACGAUUAAUUGUACUUAUAUUAUUAGUUUAUAUAUCAUCGUAGUUGAGUAUUUUAUAAGAAAAUAAAUAUUCUAAAUUUAAUAUAAUAAAUUAAAUCAGAUCAAGGUGUAGCUUAUAUGUAAGAAGAAAUGGGUUACUUUAAUUUAAUUUAAAUAGUUUAUUGUUAGAAUAAUUUUAUAAUAUUGGAUUUGAAAGUAAUAUAAAUAAUUUUAUUUAUUUGAUUUAAGCUCUAAAAUAUGUACAUAUUGCCCGUCGCUUUCAUUUAAAAUGAAAUAAGUCGUAACAAAGUAGGUGUACUGGAAAGUGUACCUAGAAAGAC
rnacentral:ncRNA from 1 species